UGGAGCUGCUUCGGGGAAAAACACGGAGCAACAGUAGAAACUUAAUGAAAUUUGUUAAACUACCAAUUUUGUCCUCCUCCUUUCCGGAAAAUUACAUUGAAACAAAUAGGGUUCAGCUUUGAUCUUCAUCCCCUCUUUGCCGUCAAAACUACAUUGCAACAUCUGUUGCUCAUCGAACUUCUCCUCCUUCUCUCUCUGCAAAUUGUUGUGCUUGAAAUUCCGGGGCAAGAUAAGCCUCGCAAACUCCACAGGGUCCCAAACCACGAAGCUUCUUCCAGUAGAACCCCACGAUAUGAUCAAAUCCAGCGACGGGUCGUCCACCAAAUCAAAUGUCUUUGCACAAAAACGGCGGCACCGGAGUCUCCUGCAGACACUGAAGCGGCUGCGGCACUCCAAUUUGGGAUAUGAAGUAUAUAGGUUUAAACCUCUUUAGUUUGGGAUAUGAAGUAUAAAGGUUUAAACCUCUUUAGUUAUGCAGUCACUCCAAUUAUAUGUAGAGUUUGGCAGAGAGUGAACACUGCAAACUCUUGAAAGGUCGCCCAUUUCAGUUUCAGGUUGAACUCGCCUAGCACAUUUAUAAUGGAUUUGGAAGUUUUGGGAUUGUUUGCUUGUUUCUGGGUUAUUAGUAUUUACGUUAGGAAAGAUUUUAGAAUCAGAAGUGAUGAAGUUAGUGCUCGUAAAGUAGAUUCUUCUAAUAUUGGCAAAGUAGAGAGAUAUGUAUGAUUCAGUAUAUGGUGGUGGUAGAAUGGACCUAAAAUACUUAUUCAUUUGAUCUGUUUACCAAUCUACCUGUACAUGUUUAUUGCAUUACCAUGGCUAAUAAUAAACUACAGCAUACCUACUAGGCUAAGUAGGCAUCCUGUAUCAGUUGCAUGAGUUAGCCAUUAUAGUUUUUCUUUAAUCCUAUAUAUUGUAAUAGUUUCUUCCCUGACUGUAGCAAGUUCGUACCAUCUUCCGCAGGAUCCUAAUUCAAAGCAUCUAGGAACUAUGGUUUGGGAUGCAUCACUGGUAUUCGCCAAGUUUCUGGCAAUGACUGUAACACUCUAGAGACUCUUGUAAAGUUCCCAUGAUUUUAGCUUUCACAUGUUGCUAUGUUCUUCUGGUGUAUGAAUCGUGUAGGUUUACGGUUUGAGUUGAAACUUUAUGGGUCCAUUUGAGUCCAAUAUUUGGAUGACGAACGAAGAGCAAGAUGUACUCAUCCUUGAAAUAGAUCUAUUAUGCAUUGAUGACUUUGAAUGUGAUUACCAGAACAUAAAAGCUAUAAAGUCUUUACAAGUUAGGUCAUAAAAGUCUCAGAAUUAUUGUUCUCAUUAGACAAUCUACAAUUCUUUCUACAAGGUUGAUGUACUUAAUAACAAACAUAUAGUAACAUAAAACAAUGACAAACAUAUUUUGUAAGUAAAUAAUCAGAAAUAUUUUGCUUCCUAGGAAUUAUUAAGGUUAUUCAGUUCACUAGUUUGGGGGCAAAAGGUAACAGUCAUACUUCUUUGAAAUUCAGAUUGGGGAUCCUGUUUGGAUUGACAGAGCUAUGUAUGCGCUGAAGAAGUCGGAUGGGAUUAUGGAGGAGGUGACCGAGGAGGAGUUGAUGGAUGCCCAAGUGGAUUCUACUGGCAUGUUUAUAUUUCCUCACACUGGUGUGGUGCUGGCGGCGUUGAUUAAGCUCCAGAUUUGGCCUGCCGGUUUGCCAACCCACCGGUUCAAGUGGGGCUGAUUUUGGGUCGAUAUGGAUGUUUUGAAGAAAUACUUGAGUAAUUCAGAGGCUCCAAAGCAUUAGUUUUGUAGAGGGCAUUGUGAGUGUGUUCUGCUCUACUGCUUCAUGUACUCUAAAUUUUAUUCGUUAUUUUUGCUUAAAGCGUUUAGGCAUUGGUAUUGUUCUCUGUGCGCUUUUUACUUUGGUGAUUCAAUGUAGGAUGAGGAACUGUUUUAGCUUGUAGUGCUCAGAAUAUGGUGGAGAAGGGAGUCAUUUAUAAGGCAGCAUUGCCAAAUUUUGUGUAUGAGUUCAUUAUCAUAUGAAUUUCACCACAUUUUUCCUUAUAACAAGUUUUCUUUAGCUUCCAA